AUUACGGGAGGCAGCAGUGGGGAAUAUUGGACAAUGGGCCACAAGCCUGAUCCAGCAAUUCUGUGUGCACGAUGAAGGUCUUCGGAUUGUAAAGUGCUUUCAGUUGGGAAGAAGAAAGUGACGGUACCAACAGAAGAAGCGACGGCUAAAUACGUGCCAGCAGCCGCGGUAAUAAU
rnacentral:rRNA from 1 species